UCGGUGGGGAUUAGUGGCGAACGGGUGAGUAACACGUGGGCAAUCUGCCCUUCACUCUGGGACAAGCCCUGGAAACGGGGUCUAAUACCGGAUAGCACUCCUGCCCGCAUGGGUGGGGGUUGAAAGCUCCGGCGGUGAAGGAUGGGCCCGCGGCCUAUCAGCUUGUUGGUGAGGUAACGGCUCACCAAGGCGACGACGGGUAGCCGGCCUGAGAGGGCGACCGGCCACACUGGGACUGAGACACGGCCCAGACUCCUACGGGAGGCAGCAGUGGGGAAUAUUGCACAAUGGGCGCAAGCCUGAUGCAGCGACGCCGCGUGAGGGAUGACGGCCUUCGGGUUGUAAACCUCUUUCAGCAGGGAAGAAGCGCAAGUGACGGUACCUGCAGAAGAAGCGCCGGCUAACUACGUGCCAGCAGCCGCGGUAAUACGUAGGGCGCAAGCGUUGUCCGGAAUUAUUGGGCGUAAAGAGCUCGUAGGCGGCUAGUCACGUCGGGUGUGAAAGCCCGGGGCUUAACCCCGGGUCUGCAUUCGAUACGGGCUGGCUAGAGUGUGGUAGGGGAGAUCGGAAUUCCUGGUGUAGCGGUGAAAUGCGCAGAUAUCAGGAGGAACACCGGUGGCGAAGGCGGAUCUCUGGGCCAUUACUGACGCUGAGGAGCGAAAGCGUGGGGAGCGAACAGGAUUAGAUACCCUGGUAGUCCACGCCGUAAACGGUGGGAACUAGGUGUUGGCGACAUUCCACGUCGUCGGUGCCGCAGCUAACGCAUUAAGUUCCCCGCCUGGGGAGUACGGCCGCAAGGCUAAAACUCAAAGGAAUUGACGGGGCCCGCACAAGCAGCGGAGCAUGUGGCUUAAUUCGACGCAACGCGAAGAACCUUACCAAGGCUUGACAUACGCCGGAAAGCAUCAGAGAUGGUGCCCCCCUUGUGGUCGGUG
rnacentral:rRNA from 1 species